rnacentral:rRNA from 1 species
UACGUAGGGGGCUAGCGUUGUCCGGAAUCAUUGGGCGUAAAGCGCGUGUAGGCGGUCCGGUAAGUCCGCUGUGAAAGUCGGGGGCUCAACCCUCGGAUGCCGGUGGAUACUGUCGGGCUUGAGUACGGAAGAGGCGAGUGGAAUUCCUGGUGUAGCGGUGAAAUGCGCAGAUAUCAGGAGGAACACCAAUUGCGAAGGCAGCUCGCUGGGACGGUACUGACGCUGGAGACGCGAAAGCGUGGGGAGCAAACAGG